rnacentral:sRNA from 1 species
CCUCUUUCUCGAACCCUAACUCUGUUCUCGAACUCUAGAACUCUUGUUCUCUCUCUCGAACUCUCCUCUUCAUCAAUCCUUCAUCAACCAUUCAUUCACCUCUCCUCUCCAACCUUCAGUCAGCUCUCGUGUCGAGCCUUCGUCUGAAACCUUCAGUCACGUCCCCUCUGGAUCGUCUCUUCUCUGCAGCUGUAAAUCAUUCUUCUCUGGAGCCCUAAAUCUGACGUAGUUGGAUUUUGACGAGGCAUCGAUUGAGGCUGCUGUGUUGCGGUAUAAGCUGAGACGUAGAACUUGGUGCUGCGAAGGCCGAAGGAACCACAAAAAGAUGUUUUGAUGCAAACUUGGUUGAGAUCCCAGUUGAAGUUGAGGAUCCUGGUCAUUAUUACUACCAUUUUGCUUUUUUUACUUCCAGAACAAUAGCAGCACUUGAGGAGUUAACAUGGGAUUAUGGCAUUGACUUUGAUGAUCAUGAUCAUCCUAUCAAGGUGUUCCAGUGCAGUUGUGGCAGUAAAUUAUGCAGGCAUAUAAAGAGGUCAAACAUCACAAGAGCUUGGUCGGUCUGUGCAUGUUGAUGAAAUAUUUCAGCAGACACAUAUUCGUCAAUCAACAGGAGAAUUUGUGGACGAAAGGUCUAGGCG